rnacentral:rRNA from 1 species
GCAUAUCAAUAAGCGGAGGAAAAGAACCGUAGGCGUAUAACGGUAGCUACGGCGAGUGAGUGGGAAAGCUCAACUUUGAAAUCUGGCAGCUUCGCUGUCCGAGUUGUAGUCUCGAGAAGUGUUUUCCGCGCUGGACCAUGUAUGAGUCUGUUGGAAUACAGCGUCAUAGAGGGUGAGAACCCCGUUCAUGACAUGCCUUCCAGUGCUUUGUGAUACACUUUCGAUGAGUCGAGUUGUUUGGGAAUGCAGCUCAAAAUGGGUGGUAAAUUCCAUCUAAAGCUAAAUAUUGGGGAGAGACCGAUAGCAAACAAGUACCGUGAGGGAAAGAUGAAAAGCACUUUGGAAAGAGAGUUAACAGUACGUGAAAUUGUUGAAAGGGAAACGCUUGAAGUCAGACGUGCGUAGUGCCUUCGGGUGCUGUUGCAGGCCAGCAUCAGUUUUGCGAGCCGGAUAAAGGUGGGAGGAAGGUGGCAGCUCCGGCUGUGUUAUAGCCUCCCACUGAAUACGGAUUGUGAGACUGAGGAAUGCGAUUCUAGGAUGCUGGUGGAAUGGCUUUAAACGACCCGUCUUGAAACACGGACC